GGAACCAAAUCUUGAUCUGGCGCUCGGACAGGCAGAGUGCGUGGGCGAUCUCGAUGCGCCGUCGCCGGGUCAGGUUGCUUGUCUGGAGACAGAGCCACUACGGGCAGGGCCUGGGCGCCUGGAGUCGGGCAUGAAAGGAAAUAGCGCCUCAUCGCUCUUAUCUAAGCCCAGAGGUCUACUUCGCUUGAAAAGAUCGAGAAUGGGGGAGGGGAUCGUCACUCACUUGCAGACAUCAACAGUUUCCAGAAAACUCGGUUCAAUUCCUUCACCACGGACCCACCAACCAAGGAGCUGGCAAGACCCACCAGCCAACCAGGAGAACACAGACCCGGUUUGUCUUUUGACAACCGAGUGGAACUGACGGGGCCGGCGCCUGCCCUGCGGGUCCCCUCCCUUGGCUGAGAAGAAAACCAAAUAAACCUUGAACAGCCUUGGC
rnacentral:antisense_RNA from 1 species